rnacentral:rRNA from 1 species
GGGGGGGGGGGGGGGGGGGGGGGGGGGGGGGGGGGCGGGGGGGGGCGCAGUGAGGGCGUGCUCGUACGGGGGGCGAGGGGCGGGCGGGGGAGGGAUACAUCGGAAUCUACUUUUUCGUGGGGGGUAACGGAGGGAAACGUACGCUAAUACCGCAUACGACCUACGGGUGAAAGCAGGGGAUCUUCGGACCUUGCGCGAUUGAAUGAGCCGAUGUCGGAUUAGCUAGUUGGCGGGGUAAAGGCCCACCAAGGCGACGCUCCGUAGCUGGUCUGAGAGGAUGAUCAGCCACACUGGAACUGAGACACGGUCCAGACUCCUACGGGAGGCAGCAGUGGGGAAUAUUGGACAAUGGGCGCAAGCCUGAUCCAGCCAUACCGCGUGGGUGAAGAAGGCCUUCGGGUUGUAAAGCCCUUUUGUUGGGAAAGAAAAGCAGCAGGUUAAUACCCCGCUGUUCUGACGGUACCCAAAGAAUAAGCACCGGCUAACUUCGUG